UUACGGCCACAUCACGUUGGAACACCGGUUCCCAUACGAUCACUGAAGUUAAGCCGUUUCGAGCCUAGUCAGUAUCUAGAUAAGUAACCACUUGGGAAUGCCAUGUGCUGUAA